AAUGAAUGAUGACAACUUGUUUCGGUCCCAUAUGAAAUAAUGAUUAGUUUUUCUCCCAGUGCUGACAUU